GGGAACUGCGUGCCGGCAGCCGUGUUAAAAGUUAGGGGAAAAGGGUUCUCCGGAAUUACUGGGCGGAAAGCGGACGGAGGCGGGUGCUUAAGUCUGACGGGAAAGCUCCUGGCUGAACUGGGAGGGGUCGUUGGAAACUGAGUAGCUUGAGGUGGUGAGAGGGGUGCAGAAUUCCCGGGGUAGUGGUGGAAUGCGUAGAUAUCGGGAGGAACACCAGUGGCGAAAGCGGCUCUCUGGUCCACACCUGACGCUCAGGUGCGAAAGCGUGGGUAGCGAACGGGAUUAGAUACCCGUGUAGUC
rnacentral:rRNA from 1 species